rnacentral:lncRNA from 1 species
ACUUAGGGAAGAAGAGAUUGCUAGCUAUUCCUUCCCUAGGUGGCCGGCCUCUUUAGAGAAAAUGAGAGAAAAUUGUUUCACCUCAUUUCACCAAGAAAAACCCUUAAUGAAAAUAAAGCUAUAAAGUUGAAUUUAUACUUCAUCACAUGUGAGUGGCAAACUUGUAAUUAAUCCAAGUUUGACACUUCUCACCCUAAUGCCCGGCCAUAUCAAAUUGAUUGGGCUCAUUGCCCAUUUUGUUUUAGUUGUCAUACAACUUAAACAUAAUGGGCCUUGUGGACCAAAACGCUUUUGGGCCCCGAAACCCAAAACCAACAUAUAAGCCCAAUACAAACAUUUCGUAUAAUUAAUUAACUAAUUAAUUAACCUUGACCAUUCUUCAAUUAAACCAUUUAAUUGCUUAUCCAUUUCAUUUAAUUUCUUCACCAACAUCCUUACUCGGUGUACGAUCCAUUAGGUUCCAUUUAGCGAGGUAGUGGGCGAUUGUUACUCUUAACGAUCGAUUGUGAAUUGAAACCACAUUUCAAUUCUCCCUUAAAAUUAGUGUUUGCUAAUCUUUAGGGCUUCCACAAAUCAUGAGUGACACCAAGCAGCAUAUCAUGGUUACCCAAGCUAAGUAGAAGUGGUUGGAGAACCUAUCCAGUUACAACUACAAUGCAAUACGGUCAUUCUCUAAUACAAUACUCUUAACCACAUUGUUUUAGAUGAUAGUUUGUUUCAUGUCUACUAUCCAAUGUGAUAUUUAUCUAUAUGAUUCAAUUGAAUAUGAUUUGGAACAAACUUCCUAAGUCAUAUUCAUAUGCUUUGGCCAAAGACUCUCGAAUCAUAUCUUAGAGUAUUCUCCUUCCACCAUGGAAGGUUAGGGAUUCCUUGUUGUGCAUUCAUAUGCCUACAUGACUAGGUAGCUUGACCACAACAAUGCCGUGGACACUCCAAUGGGAUGCCUUUGACAUGAUCGAAGAUCAAUGACCUAACCAUUAGAUAUCUAUGAUGCCUUAGGUCAAAGGACUAAUUUGCAUAUUGCAACUUUCGAGUUCUUACAUGACAUGUAUGUUCGAACUCUCUUUUGAUCAUUGUUCAGUGUACUCGAUCACUCUUUCGAGCACCUAUGUGUUUGCCUUAAUGUCCAACACUAAAUGACAUGAGACUAGUCAUACUCACACUUGAGUCGACAUAACACAUACUAACCUUAGCGGAUUGUCAAUGCCCAAUUGGCAAUCCUAUGGCUAGGAACGUUUUAGGAAUGAACAUAAGAGAAAGGUCUUGAUAAUCUAACCUACUUAAAUCACUUAUCUCUUAGAUAAAAUACAUUCUUUGGAUUCCCUUAUUGCUUAAACACAUGAUAUAAUAAAUAAUGAUUAACAAUAAGCUUUGCCCUUCAUUAAACAUAUAAAAGUUUAAUACAAUAAGUAUUCCGAAAGCUAUUACAUCAAAUGAGUGGCUUUGUGGGCAUACUUCCCAUCGGCAGCAUAUCUUCUAAUGAUAUUAAAGCGCCUGUCAAAAUACUUGUUCUUUUGAUGUGCCCUGGGUUCCUUGGCUUGAGCUAUUGCCCCACUAUUAUCACAGUACAAAGUUACUGGUGAUGUAAUGGUUGGAACCACUCCAAGUUCAGUUAUGAACUUCUUCAUCCAGAACGCUUCUUUGCCGGCUUCAGCUGCAGCGACAUAUUCAGCCUCUAUCGUGGAAUCAGCAAUUACACUUUGUUUCUUGCUCUUCCAACUGAUAGCCCCACCAUUUAGAGUGAAUACAUAUUCGGAGUUGGAACUUCUAUCAUCGACGUCAGAUUGGAAAUCUGCGUCUGUAUAGGCUUCCACUCGCAACUCUGUCGCUCCUCCAUAAACGAGGAACAUAUCCUUAGUUCUUCUUAAGUACUUAAGGACCGUCUUGUCAGUUGCCCAGUGUUCUGAUCCUGGGUUAGAUUGAUAUCGACUAGUAAUGCUCACAUCAUAUGCGAUAUCCGGCCUUGUGCAUAUCAUGGCAUACAUGAGACUUCCUAUGGCGGAAGCAUAAGGAACAGUACUCAUUUGCCGUAUCUCUUCAGGAGUCUUAGGUUCCAUGGACUUAGAAAGGUGAAUUCCAUGUCUCACAGGAAGAAUACCUUUCUUAGAUUGUUCCAUCUGGAACCUACUUAGCACCUUUUCAAUGUACAUAGAUUUGGCUAAUCCAAUUAAUUUUCUGGAUCUAUCACGAUAGAGCUUUAUCCCAAGUGCAUAAGAUGCAUCUCCUAAAUCUUUCAUGUGGAAGGUUUUAGGCAACCACACUUUUACAGAAGAAAGUACCGCAGUGUCAUUCCCGAAUAGUAAUAUGUCAUCUACAUAUAACACUAGGAAUACGACUGCAUCCCCAACGACCUUUUAAUAAACACAAUUGCCGUCUUCGUUUUGAGUAAAACCAAACAAUUGUCGUCCUGGAGGCUUGCUUAUGUCCAUAAAUGGACCUCAGAAGCUUGCAUACCUUAGUCUUUUCAGACUUGGACACGAAACCUUCGGGUUGAGCCAUAUAAAGCUCUUCCUCUAGGUAGCCGUUCAGAAAGGCCGUCUUCACGUCCAUUUGCCAGAUCUCAUAAUCAUGGUACGCAGCUAUAGCAAGCAAAAUCCGAAUGGACUUAAUCAUGGCUACAGGAGAAAAGGUUUCUUCAUAGUCAAAUCCUCCUAUUUGCCUGUAACCCUUGGCUACUAGUCUAGCCUUAUAAGUCUCCACAUUCCCAUCAACGCCUAUCUUUCUCUAGAAGACCCAUUUGUUUCCAACAGGUACUAUACCUUCUGGAGGGUCUACAAGAGUCCAGACCUGAUUUUGAUACAUGGAAUCCAUCUCAGAUUUCAUGGCCUCUUGCCAUCUCUUCGAAUCAAUGUCGGACAUUGCUUCAGUGUAGUCCCUAGGGUCCUCAUUUGUGUCAUUGUCACCUAGAAGGUACAAUUCCUCAAAGUCAUUCUCUAAGCCAUACCUCUUAGGUGGCUUACUAACCCGUUCAGAUCUACGUGGAGCUAGGGGUUCAGGAACAGGGUUGUUAACUUGUCGAGUGCUUGUUUGUGGUUCAUCAUUAAUCUCAUUAAUUUCCAUCGUUUUACUUCUAGUUCCUUUGAGAACAAAUUGUUCCUCUAGAAACAUAGCAGUUCUGGCGACAAAGACUUUCUGGUCGUCAGGAUGGUAGAACUCAUAUCCCAUAGUUUCUCUAGGAUAUCCCACAAAAUAGCACAUAACUGAUCUUUCUUCAAGCUUAGUAGCUUCAAGCUUCUUGACAUAUGCUUCACAAUCUCAAAUCUUAAUGUGAUUAAGACUUGGCUUUCUUCCAUGCCAUAUCUCAUAGGGCGUUUGUGAAACUAACUUGGAAGGUACUCUAUUAAGCAAGUAAGCUGUUGUAUUUAGAGCGUAUCCCCAUAAUGUUACUGGUAGAUCAGCGGAACUCAUCAUAGAAUGAACCAUGUUCAUCAAGGUUCGAUUUCUCCUUUCAGAAACUCCAUUAAGUUGUGGAGUUCCUGGUGGAGUCCACUGUGAUAUUAUUCCACACUCUUUGAGAUAAUCUAGGAACUCAUUACUCAGAUAUUCACCCCCUCGAUCCGAUCUUAGGAUCUUUAUCUGUUUCCCAGUUUGCUUAUCAACUUCAUUCUUGAAUUCUUUGAACCUUUCAAAGGAUUCUGACUUGUAUUUCAUAAGAUACACAUAGCCAAACCGAGAGUGAUCGUCGGUGAAUGUGAUAUAGUAGGAGAAGCCUCCUCUCGAUGUAGUAAACAUAGGUCCACAUAUGUCAGUGUGGAUUAACCCUAGAAUUUCAGUGGCACGCUCUCCUUUCCCAGUGAAUGGAGAUUUGGUCAUCUUCCCUUUCAGGCAACAUUCACAAGUACCCAUCCGGUCAUUACCUAAUUGGCGGAAAUAUCCGUCUUUCGACAUCUUGCAAAUCUUAUCAAGGUUCACAUGUCCAAGUUUAAGAUGCCACAUCUUUUCUUGGUUAACUUCUUCUCUAGCCCUUUUGGGUUUUGAGGAAUUCCUGCUUUCAAUACAGUGUAUCCCACUAUUCGUCUCUAGGUGAAAAAGUCCCUUUAUCAUAUUACCAUGAGAGAUAAUACGACCGUUCAAGUAUAAAGUGCAACUCAUUUUGUCAAACAAUACUGAGUGCCCAUCUCGUAAAAGCUUAGAGAUAGAAAUCAAAUUCUUUAUACAUGAAGGAAAAUAUAAACAAUUUUUAAGUUCCAGGACUUCCCAGAGGGUAGUUUAAGCAUGUAGGUGCCUAUUGCUUUUGCAGAGAUUUUAGUGCCGUUCCCAACUCGCACAACCAUCUCCCCAUUGCGCAGUGACCUGCUCCCUGCUAGUCCUUGCAUCGUAUUACAGAUAUGUUAACUAGCGCCUGAAUCAAAUAUCCAGGAAUUGGAGCUCACUGUAAAAGCACUCUCUAUGACGGAAAUAGUCUCUUCAAAAGUUCGUGUCAUAAGGCUCGCAAUGCGCACCCUAUAUUUCUUCUUCCAACGUUCAUCAUUUCCACAAUGAAAGCAUGUUCCUUUGGAUUUCUUUGCCUUCUUCUUAUGCAACCUUUUCCUUGUGAUUGCAUCCUCACUCCCACUGUCCUUUUUGAAACCUUUUUCAAAUUUACAGCACAUGUCAAUCAUCUCGUUUAAAGUAUGAUCGAAUCUAUUCACUUUAUAGUUUACAAUAAACUUAGUGAAAUCAUCCGAGAGAGAUGCAAGGAAAAGUCUUGGGCCAUUUUCCCAUCGAUGGAAGUUCCUAAACUUUGAAGAUCUUGAAAGAUCCUUUCCAUCUUUUGUCCAUGUUUAUCGACUGAUGUCCCCUUUGCCAUUUUGGCAUUCAUUAGACUACAAACAUUUGAGAAUCGUACAUUACUAGUCUCAUUGUCAUGCAUCUUAUGCAAACUUUCAACCAUGGCACAAGAAGUGUCCAUGUGCUUAUGUAGCUUCAUAAGCUCCUCACUAAGUGAAGUGAGGAUUAAGCAUUUGGCUUGUAAGUCAUCCUCAUAGUGUCUAACAUAAUUUUGACACUCCUCCUUUGAAGCUAGUUUCGUAGGAGGUACAUGAGGAGGGGAUUGCUUAAGCACAUACAAUAUGUCUUUCACCUUUGAGACAUUCUCAAUGUGGCGAUACCAAGCAAGGAAACGUUGGCCCCUAAGGCCCCUUUUGUCAAGUAUAAUGGUGGGUAUUAUUUUAGGCAUGUCGUUAACUACAUAACAUAACAGAAAUCGUAUUAGAUUGUUUUAAAACUACUUGAUUGGGUCUUAAAUCAAAUAGUACCACCCACUAUUUUUGGCAAAUUCCACAUCCCUUAAUGGAAUUUGAGAGUCAUAUUGAACUCUUAGCGGGGUAUGGGAGGCUCACCAUUACCAAGCCCACCUCACGAUGAUACGAUAUUGGUUACCAAAAAUAAUGAUGAGAAAAUAACGCUUUAUUCAUUUACAACUUUUGUAAUUUCCCAUCUUGUUUGGCCUCUAGAGAAUGAUGCCUCACGAUGAUACGAUAUCGGCACCAUUGCACUUAGUUAAGUCAUUCCUACCAUGCUUAGUUCGUGAAGGGGUUCAAGAAUAGCCUCACAAUGAUAUGAUAUCGGCCAUCCUCGUUGCCUACACUCACCUCAUCAUAUGUUUAUGGACUCCUCCUGGAUGUAAGCACAUACUUUGAACUUCCCCAUGAUAGGAUGAAGCCGGUGUAGGAAUCACAAACGAUUGGAGCCCACCACGGUGGAAGGCCUACGAAGAGAUGUUCAGAACACCUCUCGCUUAUCAACUUAAUAUUCGUUUUGUUGAGGGAGUAGUGUUGGGCUACAUCAAAAUCAUUUUAAUCUUAUUAAAAGAACUUGGGCCUAUCACAACCAUUGGUCCAAGUUAAUAUGAAUUAGUAGUUUAUAAUACUCCCACUAUUUCGAUGAAAUAAGCGAGACUAUAUGGAACUACUAACGAAUGCUUUGCAUCCUCAUAUGGACUAUAUAGUCAUAUUAGGUUUUACGAUGAUUAUGAACCGUUUGAAUUUGAUCCAACACGAGCCUUGUGUUGGACCUUGGGUUUAAGGUAGAUAAUUGUUGAUUUUAGUUACGCGUUUAAUCCAAUUAAACCGUUAUUUCCUAUUGGGCGUUGGACCCAACUAUUCCAAUUUGCAUACAUAUAAACAAAAAGGAAUACAUGAAAUAAAGAUAAGGGCUUAUGCCUUUUUACAACACAAAUGAUGGACUUAUGUCCAUUUACAACAAAUUUGAACUAAUCAAAUUACAUUCAAAUCUAAACUACUAAACCCAAACAUUCAUAAUGUAAAGCGGCCAAUCACAUAGCUCAAUUAUCGAGGCCUUUGGUUCAUAAUCACCCUUUUCUUAAUCAAUCACAUUAACUAAGAAAGCAACUUAAACAAUUGGUUUUCGGAUUCAUAGAAUUGAUUUAAUGGAACUAAUUGAAAUGAAAAUCCAAUUCUCAUUAAAGAGACAAAACCAUUUUGUUCUCAUUUUAUUUGGGCCAAAAACAAUGACCUCAACAAUUGGGCCAUUAUUUAAUAAACAUAAACUUUCGGGGUCACUUUGUAAAAACACAAAAGUCCAUAACUUCAUGUAAUUACAAUUAGAACCCAAAAUUUUCAACAAUUCCUAAAACUUCAUUAAAGGAACAAAACAAUUUGUCCUUUAGUGAUUUUGGACCUUUAUGCAAAAAUACGUAAAAUGUUGAUCCAAAAUGCAAAAACACAAAAGUAUCAAAACUAUAUGUAAUUGCACAAAAGGCCCAAAAUUACCCUAUUUUAAAGGUUGGCCGGCCAUGAGAGAACAAGUGAAAAAAUAAAAUUUUCUAAAAAGUUUUUGCAAGUUGAUUUGGUAGGUGAGAUAAAGGUGAUUUAGAUGGUUUGUAAGAAAAUGUUUUGUAAAACAUUAAAGGCAUUAAACAUGUUUCACCAAUAAACAUCACCCAUCAAUUAUAUACCAAAACUUUAUGAAAAAACAUAAAACUUUUGAAUCAAAACUUUAAAACUUUUUGUUCUUGGCAAGAACUUCAAGAACAUUGAAGAACACUCAUGAAAACUCAUAAUAGUUCCAUGAAUGUUUUCACUCACCAAAAAUCAAAUUUUCACUACUCAAAAGAGGGUUAAUAUCCUAGGGUACUUAGGGGUUCCAAAAGUCACUUUAAAACUCUUUUAACAAGACAAACAUGAACCCAAAAAAUCACCCUUUGGAUUAGGCCGAAUUUCCCAACAUACAUGGCACCAAAUUUUAGUUCCAAUAUUCAUGCUUAAAUGAACUACAUCUACAACAUUUGAGAUGCUAAAUUUUCUAGCAAAAUUUAUAUUCAAAAGCAAGAACAAAGCUUGUAACAUUUACAACACUUAAAUCAUAAAUCAUGAAAAACACAAAACCCAAAAGGAUUCACUAUAAACUAGGCCUAGGCUCUGAUACCACUUGAAGGAAAAAUUUUGUCCUAGCUAAGAACAUGUGAGAAUAUUUGAAUACAUAUGCAAACUAUUAACACAUUAAAGUAGGCAUGCAUUAAAAAAUAAUUCAUAAAACCCAUGACUUUCAAAGCCUAGUAUAUGGUGAACCAAUAAACUCUUUAACAACAUUAAAGAGAAGGAAAGAUUUAGAGUUUCUUUACCCUUGAAGCUCAUCCUUGAUUACACAAGGGAUUCACCCAAGUGGAGGGCCUUCAAGUCACCUCCUUGCUCCUUGGAUCUUCCUUGUGAUUUUCCUCCUUUUUGUGCUCCUUUGCUUCUUUAAGGAUUUGAGGAUUUGUUCUCCAAAACAUCAAAAGCUUGAAGUGAAGAUGAAAUGGAUGACUUAGGGAAGAAGAGAGUGCUAGCUAUUCCUUCCCUAGGUGGCCGGCCUCUUUAUAGAAAAUGAGAGAAAAUUGUUUCACCUCAUUUCACCAAGAAAAACCCUUAAUGAAAAUAAAGCUAUAAAGUUGAAUUUAUACUUCAUCACAUGUGAGUGGCAAACUUGUAAUUAAUCCAAGUUUGACACUUCUCACCCUAAUGGCCGGCCAUAUCAAAUUGAUUGGGCUAAUUACCCAUUUUGUUUUAGUUGUCAUACAACUUAAACAUAAUGGGCCUUGUGGACCAAAACGCUUUUGGGCCCCGAAACCCAAAACCAACAUAUAAGCCCAAUACGAACAUUUCGUAUAAUUAAUUAACUAAUUAAUUAACCUUGACCAUUCUUCAAUUAAACCAUUUAAUUGCUUAUCCAUUUCAUUAAUUUCUUCACCAACAUCCUUACUCGGUGUACG